rnacentral:rRNA from 1 species
AACGAACGCUGGCGGCAUGCCUAACACAUGCAAGUCGAACGAACCCUUCGGGGUGAGUGGCGCACGGGUGCGUAACACGUGGGAACCUGCCCUUAGGUUCGGAAUAACACAGAGAAAUUUGUGCUAAUACCGGAUAAUGUCUUCGGACCAAAGAUUUAUCGCCUUUGGAUGGGCCCGCGUAGGAUUAGCUAGUUGGUGAGGUAAAGGCUCACCAAGGCGACGAUCCUUAGCUGGUCUUAGAGGAUGAUCAGCCACACUGGGACUGAGACACGGCCCAGACUCCUACGGGAGGUAGCAGUGGGGAAUAUUGGACAAUGGGCGAAAGCCUGAUCCAGCAAUGCCGCGUGAGUGAUGAAGACCUUAGGGUUGUAAAGCUCUUUUACCUGGGAUGAUAAUGACAGUACCAGGAGAAUAAGCCCCGGCUAACUCCGUGCCAGCCGCCGCCGCGGUAA